rnacentral:rRNA from 1 species
UACGGGGGGGGGCAAGCGUUGUUCGGAAUUACUGGGCGUAAAGGGCUCGUAGGCGGCCAACUAAGUCAGACGUGAAAUCCCUCGGCUUAACCGGGGAACUGCGUCUGAUACUGGAUGGCUUGAGUUUGGGAGAGGGAUGCGGAAUUCCAGGUGUAGCGGUGAAAUGCGUAGAUAUCUGGAGGAACACCGGUGGCGAAGGCGGCGUUCUGGACUGCAACUGACACUGAUGAACGAAAGCCAGGGGAGCAAACGGG